AUCCCAGUCCUCAUUCACGGCGAUAACAAGCCAAUCUGCGAAUCUCUCAUCAUCGUACAAUACAUCGACGAGGCUUGGUCUUCCGGUCCUUCUAUUCUUCCUUCUGAUCCCUGUGAACGUGCUGUCGCUCGGUUUUGGGCUGCAUAUCUUGACGACAAGGUGGGUCUCUGACUCUCACUUCACAAUUUGUUCUUAUUUGUUUUAUGUUGAUAUAUUCUUUGUUGUGCAGUGGUUCCCAGCGGUGAAAAGUAUAGGAGUCGCUAAAGGAGAGGAAGCAAAGAAAGCAGCAAUAGCGCAAGUGGAAGCAGGGUUGGCUUUGAUGGAAGAAGCAUACGACAAGUGCAGCAAAGGGAAGGGUUACUUUGGUGGGGAUGAAGUUGGGUACCUUGAUAUAGCUUUUGGGAGCUUCUUGGGAUGGCUUAGAGUGACGGAGAAGUUCAAUGCGAUGAAGCUGCU
rnacentral:lncRNA from 1 species